rnacentral:rRNA from 1 species
AGUGAACGCUGGCGGUAGGCCUAACACAUGCAAGUCGAACGGCAGCACAGUAAGAGCUUGCUCUUACGGGUGGCGAGUGGCGGACGGGUGAGGAAUACAUCGGAAUCUACUUUUUCGUGGGGGAUAACGUAGGGAAACUUACGCUAAUACCGCAUACGACCUACGGGUGAAAGCAGGGGAUCUUCGGACCUUGCGCGAUUGAAUGAGCCGAUGUCGGAUUAGCUAGUUGGCGGGGUAAAGGCCCACCAAGGCGACGAUCCGUAGCUGGUCUGAGAGGAUGAUCAGCCACACUGGAACUGAGACACGGUCCAGACUCCUACGGGAGGUAGCAGUGGGGAAUAUUGGGCAAUGGGCGCAAGCCUGAUCCAGCCAUACCGCGUGGGUGAAGAAGGCCUUCGGGUUGUAAAGCCCUUUUGUUGGGAAAGAAAAGCAGCAGGUUAAUACCCCGCUGUUCUGACGGUACCCAAAGAAUAAGCACCGGCUAACUUCGUG